rnacentral:rRNA from 1 species
GACAGAGGUGCCGAGCGUUAGGCGGAAUCACUGGGCUUAAAGCGCGUGUAGGUGGCGGCCUAAGUACCUUGUGAAAUCCUGCGGCUCAACCGCAGAACUGCUUGGUAUACUGGGUCGCUUGAGCCAUCCAGGGGCAACUGGAACAAGCGGUGGAGCGGUGAAAUGCGUAGAUAUCGCUUGGAACGCCCAAAGGUGAAAACAGGUUGCUGGGGAUGCGCUGACACUGAGACGCGAAAGCCAGGGGAGCGAACGGG